rnacentral:lncRNA from 1 species
GAACAUUUCCUGUUAAGUAUUGUUUUCAAUAAUUUAUUCUGGAGGAGAUGUUGGCUCCCCUGGGAAUCACUUUGCAGCACAUCCCCUCCAGAGACCAGCUACAGACAUCAGGCGCCAGGAUAGAAGAGUCGCUCUGUGUAGACGGUGGACCAGGAAUAAGGUUGCCUCAAAAAAAUAAUAGCUGACAUCCGCCCCACCCUCCACUCUUCAAUCAAGCCAGUCAGGCAAUGAACCUUUUCACACCUGAGGGAUUAUUUUUGCUUUUGUCUGAUUCUGCUGUGUUAAAGGAAACAAGUGUUGAGAAAGUUGUUAACCCUGUACAGAAAAAGAACCCAAGUAUGAAGCCAAAGAAAGAGCAGUGGUGAAGCCUGAAAAAAGCUCAAAGCGCGGGACAAAGGCAGAGCUGGAGCUGUUCCUGCACCUGUGGGUGUAUGGGGAGCAGGGGAGAGAAG